rnacentral:lncRNA from 1 species
AACUUUGUAAUUUUGUUACAUAAGUUAAACAUCAAAUUAAGAAUGAUGCUUUUGAGAAAAUUAUUUUCUGAUAUUUGUAUUAGAUUCUAAAAAAAAUUUCUCUGGAAAGCUCACAUCGACAUUUACCAGAAACGCAAAGACAACAUGGACAAUUUUCACAAAAACAGCCACCACAAUCUUGAUCUCUAAGGCAUCGAUCACCAGAUAGUUUUUGUGGAUUUUCAAACUUCAUACCUGAAAAUCAUAGAAUAAAAAUAACAUAGGGGAAUGGUGAAAAAUAUAUAGAAUUAUAUUUCAGAUUAUAAUGUAACUCUUGAUAUAUAGAUAAAAUAAUAUUUUGUUGACAAUAAAAAAAUUACCUGAAGCAGAUAUUAUGAGGACAACAAAGAAUGCUAACUUGACCAAAGAAGUAUGCAUUUUGUUGGCUCUGUUGAUGCUAUCUUGUGGCCUGCCUCAAACUAUGAACAUUUAUAGGUUAAGAUGAUACAAUUUGCUUUGAGUCAUUAAUAGUAUUUAUGUUGAUUUUGUUAUAGACAAAUGUUAGUAUUUUAUUAUGGAUGAGACUCGAAUGUACAAACUCAUUUAUUUCAUUCCUUAAAUCAUUUAUUCGAACUAUCAGAACAUCUUUUAACUCCACAUAUCUUGAUUUAAUGGAUUAAAAAUGAGAUUUAAUUUAAAUUUUAGCAGUAUUAUGUUUCUUUAUCAAUAUAUAACAAAUAUAUAUCACUCAAAAGGUCGUUAAUUGAACUACUAUAUAAUGUAUUUUUUAUUAAUAUGUUACAACUAUCAAUGUUAUUAUAAAAUAUAUUUUUAAAUUAACUAUAAAGUCUAUAAAAACACCCCAAGGUUUAUAUCUUUUGCAAGUAAUCACAAAAAAAUAAUUUUCUUUCUAAUUACCCAUCAAACAUUCUUUGCAAAAUUGUUUCCUACAUAAAAAUAUUAUUAAAUUAGUGAUGAAAAUUCUAAUAGAUACAUUUUGUUUUAACCUCAUCUUUUAUUAUAUAUAUGAAUAUUAUCGUGUUAAACAUUUUUAGCUAUAAAAUUUACUUAUUCUCUUUUUCUUAAUUAAUUUUAUAUUUUGAUAUGGUAAUUUCCUCCGAAUAUUAAUGCAGAUUAACUUACAUUGUUGUAUUAAUAUUGUUGUGAGUCUAAUUAUAAUGAUUUGUUUAGUGACCUAUUAGUAAUUUAAAAAUGUAUUUAUGCCGGAACUAAUUUCAUAGACUCAUAAAUUUUAAUGGGUAAAAGGAGAAAAAAAUAGUUGAUAGUAGUUACUUGCUAAAAAGGUAAAGUUUAGAUAUUUUUGCACUUUGUCCUUGAAUUAAUUAGACAUUUAUUUUUAAUAUAAACAUAAAUAUAAGUAUUAAUACCAGUCUUAUGUCACCCAACAAUUUAACUUAUUAACUAGCAAGUUACCCGUGCAUUUGCACGGGACGAUAUUUUUUGCCGCAUGAUUAAGAACACAUAUGACAUGUGCAUUUAUGAUUAAGAAUAUGUAUGUUGCUCGUGCAUUCGCAUGGUUAAAACCAUAUAUGUUACCAGUGCAUUCAUAUUGUUAAAAAUUAUUAAUUAUAUAUAAAAUCAUACGGUCAAACCAUACGGUCAAACCAUACGGUUUAACUGUUUAAAUUGGAUAAACUUAAUAUGGGUCAUCUACUGGUUUAACAUCUUGCUCGACUUUCUCAACAUUGUUUUUUACACAUACAUAACAUGAUAUAGUUAGUAGUAUCCUAUUAAUCAAAAAAAUCAUCAAUAAAUUUAUAAGAUUCUAAAAUAAGAUUAGUAUAAAAAUAAAUAUUAUUUAACUCUAAAAUAGCUACAAACAAUAUGUUAUGAUUCAUAUUAUUAUUUUAAUAUUGCUAUAGUAACAUUAUAUUUUAAUAUUGUAUAGGUAAUCAUAUUCCUUUUAUUUUUAAAUAAAUCACAUGUCAUGAGGGUUUGAGAGAUUGACACAUGUCAUGAGGGCUUGAGAGAUUGACACAUGUCAUGAGGGACCUUUAAUUUUAAUGAGAGGUUGACACAUGUCAUGAGGGUUUGAGAGAUUGACACAUGUCAUGAGGGCUUGAGAGAUUGACACAUGUCAUGAGGGACCUUUAAUUUUAAUGAGAGGUUGACACAUGUCAUGAGGGUUUGAGAGAUUGACACAUAUCAUGAGGGAGUUUUUUUUUAUUAUAUAAGUAAUAGAUACUUAGUUGCUUUUAUUGACGUCACUACCAUGCAUGUAUACUCGAUUUCUUUAAAUUCAUUAAAUACUUUAGAUUAAUAUGCGUCAUAAGUAAAAGUUAUAUAGAUAUAGAGUAAACUUUUAUCAAAUAGAAUACAUACACUAUUAGUAUUGAUAGUCAUAGAUUUAAUUUUAGAGAUAAUCAUCUCCUUCGAAGCUGUUAAAUAAGUGGAAUGUCUAUAAAACUUCUAUCACUAACCUGAACUUCAAAAUUUCUCAUAUCUUCAUAGAGGAAAACAAAUAUGCUGAAAAGUUGGCUAAUCAUUGUCUAUUUUAUAGGUCUAAUUUAUGGUGGAAUGUACUGCUUUCGUUUCUUAAUGAGGAAUUUGCUAGAAAUAAGUUAAUACUUCCUAACUUUAGAUUUAGAAACUUGUAACCUUAUUUCCUUGUAAUCCUUCUUAUUAAUCUAUUUCCGUCAGUGCCUUGCACUCUCGGUUUAUAAAAAAAUAAUUCUUAAUAUGGGUAAAAUAUGAUAAUACAAAAUUAUGUUGUCUAACUAUUAAUUUCUUUCAUAAUAACAAAAAAUAUAUAAAGAACAUAUAUAACUAUGAAAAAAAAUGUAUAUGCUGACAUUGUAAUUUUUUUUACAUUGAUAAUAUAUUAUUCGUCAUUCAUAUUUAAUUAUUAUUGACUUAAUUAAAUAUAUAAUACAAAUGAAUGAUGAGUAAUAUGUUGACUAUGAAUAAAUAUUUACAUUAGAAUUUCAUAGAUUGGGUGUAUGUAUACACAAAGUCAACAAUGUCAAUAAGGUACAACAAAAGUAGAGAGACCAUUGAUGCUUAAAAUUGCUAUAGUUAUCUAUGAAAAAUAUUUCUUAUUAUAUGCAAAAACCAGUACAAAAAAUAUUUAUGUAUUAAUUAAUGGUUAAAAUUGGUAUUUCGUUGAUCAAUUGACAGACACAAUUGAUGCUUGAAAUUGCCAUAGUUUUGGUAUUAAGUCAAAACUGUUUGUUUUGGAAAGCUAAAUAUAAAUCUUUCUCUUUUUCAUUAAUUUAAUUGAUUUUUAACUUUGUAGUUUGUAAUCUUUCUUAUUAAACUAAAAUUACUUUGGUUUUUAGAUGACCUUCUUUUAUAAUCAUGGCGAAGUUCCAUUUUUUCAAAUAUGAAAAUCCAAAUUCAGUAGGCGUCACGUUACAAAGGAUUUGAAUAAGUUACAAAAUAUAUAUUUUUCAUCAUUUUAGGGUAAAAAAAAUAAUGACUUGUUUACUUGAAACUAAAAACCAAACACAAAAUGCAUUUUAAUCACCAUUUUUAACCGUAUUAAAAACACUACGGAUGAAAAUAUGUCCAUGCCGACUGAACUUCAGUUGUUCUAUAUGGGAGGAGAGUUAAUAACACUUGAAGUGUUGCUCUCAAGAAUCGAACGCUCGAUCUUGAGAAUCCAGUGAGAUCUUACACCAAUAGACCAAUGUCUUGGUGGUAAAAAGGUUAAUUAUCUAUAAGGAAUAGUUGUAAUUAUUUUCUUAUUAACUACACUAGCACUCAUUAAUAUUGCAAAACUAAACAAACUUCUUAUAUCUUCUUUAUCCUUAACAUAAACUACCCUUAUUUAUACACACUUAGUACACUCAGUAUGAGUUAUAUGAGAUAAGUGUAAUAUUUCAAAUAUUAUGAGUGUUGAAUUUAAUUAAAUUAAAAUCCAAAUUAUAUUAGUGUAAUUUAAUCUUAAUUAAAUAUUUAUUUGUAUACUAGCUAUGAUAAGUUUGUCAUUUUUAAUUUUGCAUUUGGAAUUUGACUUUUUUUGGGUACAUUCUUUGGGGUUUGAAUUUGACUUUGAAAUCACUUUUCUUUUUUUAUGUAGGUAAUAUAAAAAUACUUCAUUCUAUAUUAUUUACAAAAUUAAAGAUUAUUUUUUAUAAAAUACCAAGUUUGUUUGAUCUUGAGUUGAAUGCCCUAUUUUUGAUAAUACUCAAUAAGUGUUAAAAUAAUGAUGAUUCAUGUACUAUUAUUUUUGUUAAAUCAUUUAUUGAUUCUAGUUUUUUACAACCAAUAAUAACUAUUUUAAGUAGUAAAGUUAAAAAAAAGUAUAUUGAAAUUGCUUUGAUUUUCUAGAUACAGAUGGGUCCUCAUUUAUUUUAAGAAUAAAUAUAUUUACUAAUUAUAAUGGACAUUAAGAAGAAAUCAGUGUUGUUAAAACCGUACUGGUUAUCAAACCGGUCAGGGUUGUAUAGUGGUAUAGUGGUUCAACCAGUAGUUUAAUAAUUAAUCUGCAUGCCAUUUAAACCGGACAUACCUACUUAUAUUUUUAUAUAUAUAAACCUAUAACAAAAAAAAUUCCAAAGAGGUAGAUACUCAAAUUUAUAAUCCAUAUUUAUAAUCUACUCAAAAUUCAUAUAAAUAAACAACUUUAAGUAUUUAACAAAUUCAAAGUCUAAAUUAAAAAACAUAUAUCAAUCCAAAAGUAUCACUUAACAACCACAAAAUAUAAAUAAAUGACAACUUCACAACUCACUAUAUAAAACAAAUAAAUUUGGAGUUUUAACAUUUAACACAAAUGAGUGUUGUCUUAUAUGAAUAUUAUACUUUUUUACCAAAUCCUAUCUUCAGACAGUACUCCAAGAUUACACAAAUGUCACUGAGAUUACACACGAAUGUUAGGAACCAAAAGGUGUAAUCUAAGUAUGUCUUGGAAGCAUGUGUCUUGAAGUUUUGAAGAAGGGUUGGAAAGAUGAGUCACAUUGUAAUGGGUUUUUAAGUUUUUUUAAAAAAAAAAAUGUGUAUAAACCGACCGGUUUAGUAAAAUACCGGCCGGUUCACCGGUUUUGAUACUUAGCCGAUUCAACACUUGUACCGUACCGGUUAGGAGUCCAGUUCACUAGUUUUCCGAUUGAACCAGCCAGUAUGAUACGGUUUUUAUAAUUAUGGAAGAAAUGAUAUACCUUUCUUUUAUUCCCUACAAAGUUUCCACAAAUAUGAUAUAAAAUGAAAGACAAGUAAUGUCUCUUUAAAAUUUUGUUUUUACUAAAGUAAAUAAAAUUGAUCGUUCUCCUAUUAUUUAGUUUAAUUAUAGUCAUAAUUACUCUUGUUUAGCAAGCAAACUACACUCACCUCCUUAUCAAGGUACUCAGUAUAAUAUAUGUAUUAAAUUUGGAUAGUUUUUUAACGUGUAAAAAGAUAGACACAAUUUGUAAGUGUAAUUAAUAUUUAUUAAUGUCUUAUCAUAUGCAUGAAUGCUUAGAAACCCUUUAUAUAUUGUGGAAAAAUGUAUAUAUAAAUAGUGUAUGAGUUAUAUAUAUUUUUAUUGCAUUAUUUAAUAUAUAUAUUUAAUUAUUAUUAAUUCUUUAAAAAAAGUAAUAUAAAUAAAUAAUAUAUGAUAUACUGAUUGUAUAUAAAUUUUGAGUUUAAAAUCUAUGCAUUGACAUUGUAAAGUUUUUUAAACUAUCAGUAUAUUAUCCACCAUUGAUUUCUAUUACUUUUGUUUGAGAGUCAAAGAUGAUUAACAAAUCAAUUGUAGAUACUUGAUGACAGUGUAUAAAAUCCUUACACUGUCAAUAUAUACAUAUUAAAUUUAUAAAUUUUUACAUUAAUAAUAGAUGAAUAUUAUAUUCUUAUAUAUUUAAUCUAAAUAUUAUAAUGUUUUGUCAACAACUCAAUCAUUUAUUUAACAUAAUCAAAUUUUACCAACAAUUGUUGUUUUAGUGAUAUAAAACUCCGCUAAAUUUUCAGAUGUCCAAAAUGUCAAUAAUUUAACUCCUAGGAGCAAUACUUAUUGGGAGAGACAAUCAUGUACCAAGAAAGAGAUUAAUUCUUUACCUAUAAGAGUAAAAAAUACCUUUAAUAAUACAAAAAAAAUCAAAAGCGUUUGAAAUCCUCCCAUUAAAAUAUCAUGUUAAAUAUCAACCCCAUUAAAUAUUUUAUUAUUAAUGAGCAUACAUGAUGAGUUUAUUCCCGAAUCCAACUUUCUCUAUUUGUUACAUAAAUUGAACAUCGAAUUAGGAACGAUGUUGUUGAGGAAGUUGUUUUUGGAUAUUUGCAUCAGAUACAAAAAGUUUAUCUCUUGAACGCCCACUACAUACACAUUUAAAAUGAAUGCAAAUACAACAUAUACAAGGAUCGCAAACACAUCCACCACACUCUGCAUUGUUUUUGCAUGGCUGACCAAAUUGUACAUCUUCAUGCAUCAUACCUGAAAAAUGAAAAUGCAUUCAAAUUUUUAUUAAAUUAAGUAUUAUAUAUUCAUAUAAUUAAUAUAAAUAUACAUUAAGAUAAGACUGUUAUCCCCUAACAAUGUAACAUUUAUGUACUAAAUAUUGUUAGGGAGGCUGAUAACAACUGCGUCAUAUCUAUUCAUAUUUAAUAGAAAAUUGUUAGAAAAAUAUUUCUCAUCUAUACAAGAAUCAUAGAAUAAGAAUAACAUAGGAAUACGGUGAAGUAUAGAUAUAAUUAUAUUCCGGGAAUAAUGUAACUAUUGUGAUAUAGAUGAUAAAAUAUUUUGUUGCAAAUAAGAAAAUUUACCUGAAGCAGAUAUUAUGAGGACAACAAAGAAAGCUAACUUGACCAAAUGUGUAUACAUUUUUUUUGGCUAUAUCAAUGAUAUCUAUGGUCCUCGUC